rnacentral:rRNA from 1 species
GACGAACGCUGGCGGCGUGCUUAACACAUGCAAGUCGAACGGUGAUGCUCCAGCUUGCUGGAGUGGAUCAGUGGCGAACGGGUGAGUAACACGUGAGCAACCUGCCCCAGACUCUGGAAUAAGCGCUGGAAACGGCGUCUAAUACUGGAUACGAAACUGGCCCGCAUGGGCAUGGUUUGGAAAGUUUUUCGGCUUGGGAUGGGCUCGCGGCCUAUCAGCUUGUUGGUGAGGUAAUGGCUCACCAAGGCGACGACGGGUAGCCGGCCUGAGAGGGGGACCGGCCACACUGGGACUGAGACACGGCCCAGACUCCUACGGGAGGCAGCAGUGGGGAAUAUUGCACCAUGGGCGAAAGCCUGAUGCAGCGACGCCGCGUGAGGGAUGACGGCCUUCGGGUUGUAAACCUCUUUCAGCAGGGAAGAAGCGAAAGUGACGGUACCUGCAGAAGAAGCACCGGCUAACUACGUG